rnacentral:sRNA from 1 species
UCCCACUGUCCCUGUCUACUA